rnacentral:tRNA from 1 species
GGAGGGAUGCCUGAGCGGUUAAAAGGGACGGGCUGUAAACCCGUUGGCUAUGCCUACGGUGGUUCGAAUCCACCUCCCUCCACCA